rnacentral:lncRNA from 1 species
AGAGAGUAGCUGUGGUCUCCUGCGUGCUCACCCUCUGCUCCCUUGGUCCUGCUCCAUGCUUUGGUCCUGCACUUAAAUUUUACAAGCAUACUCUCUUUCUCUUAAGAUGAAGGAGCUGAGGCUGGAGAAGUUAAGAGACCCCUGCUAGAUAGGAAGGCACGUGAGAAGUAUACUGCUCUGUCUCCUGUGGCUGAAAUCUUUCAGAGACAAGGUUCAAGAGAGCAAGCAAAACAUUGCACGACAAUGAACAGAUCAAGGUAGCCACUCCCAGUCAAGGACUGUAUGAGUUGCCCAGAGCAAGACCUUUUAGGAUAUGGUACAUAGCUGGGAGCCUGCCAACUCCUGAUUUUGUCAUUACCCUCAGAACUCCAGAAUGUAAGCUCCAUGAAGGUAGGUUUUUAAACAGUUUUGUUUUUCUGUUUUGCUCACUGCUG